rnacentral:lncRNA from 1 species
AUAAUACGAGUAUUAUAUGAAUAUUAUACGAAGAGAAUACGUGAAUAAUAUGCGUAGAAUAUGAAUUGUAUUAUUAGAGUAUGAGCUAAGGAUUUUAUCCAAUCCAAUUGGACUUGGAUUAAUAACAAGCCCAAUGAAUUAAUUAUACAAGCCCAAGUCAAGGCCCAAUAUUAGAUUGGUUAAGGCCCAAUAUUUUUAUGUCAAGCCCAAUCCAAAAAGUAAACUGCGGGUCGAACCGGUGGGUCAAGGGAUGGGUAAAACCCAUGGG